UCUGACGCCAGAGACUGAGCGCCGAUUUCUUCAGGCGCCCUGAUAGCAAAAGAAUAGUGAGUCAUGGAAAGGGCGGUGGGCUUGUGUCUCUCGUCAAGAGACGACGUGGCAGAAAUCGAAGCCUUUCCACGCCUCCUCGUGGAACAACUGGGACGAGCGCCAGACUUUUAGGGUCUUCGCUCUGAACGCGAUUCCAAUUUCUUGGAGCAGUUUCGAGAUCCCCCAGUUCUUGAAACUUCGGCGACUCUCUGAUAUUUUAUAAGCUAUAAUUGAGGCGCUUCAACUGCUAAUUUUUAUCCGACGGUUUGCAUAUCUGGAGACGCUUCCACAUCUGAAUUUCUCGUGCUUUCUUUGCAUAUUUAUAAUCAUCUCUCUCUGGAGAUGCAUGUUGCCUAAGAAAAAGGGAUGAUGAGAAGAGUUCGAAGGAAAGGAUGCGGUUUUUGGGGGAUUGGAUGGUUUGUGAUAUAGUCAACUUUGAACUGGGAAAAAGGGAAGCUCGGGUUUUGUCUGUUAGCAAAGGUCGCUUUUGGGAUAAUAGCAGAUAUGAUGAGCACACAACUUUUUAAUUUUAGAAAGCACUCCUGGCCUCCAGAUGAGUAUGUCAACAGGGCUACGUUGCAGCUGUUGGACUUUGAUGGUGGUGCUCCACCAGAACAGGCAUGGAGGAGGAGACUCAAUAGUCAUGCUAAUAUACUAAAAGAAUUUAGUGUGACAUUUAUGGAGGCAAUCAAGAUGAUGCAUCUUGGCAUUCGUUUGUGGUCUUAUGUUCGCAAAGAAGCUUCUCAAGGAAGGAAAGCACCUAUUGAUCCAUUCACACGAGAAAGAUAUAAGCCCUCAGCUUCUCUGGGAGUUCCCCUUGGAGGAAUGGGAAGUGGUAGCAUAUCAAGGGGUUUCAGAGGGGAGUUUAAGAAUUGGCAAAUUAUUCCUGGUUCAUGUGAAUGGUCACCUGUCAUGGCAAAUCAGUUCUCUAUUUUUAUAUCUCGAAAUGGAGGAAACAAAAAGUACUCAUCUGUCUUAGCCCCUGGUCAACAUGAGGGGAUUAAGAAAUCUGGUGAUCAGGGUAUAUCAUCAUGGGAUUGGAACUUGAGUGGUCAGCAUUCCACAUACCAUGCUUUAUUUCCUAGAGCAUGGACUAUCUAUGAUGGUGAACCUGAUCCAGAUCUCAAAAUUUCAUGCCGUCAAAUAUCACCAUUCAUACCUCAUAAUUAUCGGGAAAGCAGCCUUCCUGCAUCAGUGUUUGUUUACACUCUAGUGAAUUCUGGGAGAGAAAGAGCAAAAGUCAGCUUGCUCAUGACCUGGGGGAAUUCUAUUGGUGGAAUUUCUCAUCAAUCUGGAGGCCACAUCAAUGAGCCCUUUAUAGGAAGAGAUGGAGUCUCUGGUGUGCUUUUACAUCACAAGACUGCAAAUGAUAACCCGCAUGUUACUUUUGCUAUUGCUGCAUGUGAAACUCAAAAUGUCAGUGUGACUGUUCUUCCAAGUUUUGGGCUUUCUGGAGAAAGUUGUGUUACAGCUAGGCGCAUGUGGGGUACUAUGGUUCAGGAUGGAUGUUUUGAUUGGGAGAAUUUCAAUGCUGGUCCUUGUAUGCCAUCUUUGCCUGGAGAGACUCUUUGUGCAGCAGUUUCAGCUUCCACCUGGGUCGAACCUCAUGGAAAAUGCACUGUUGCAUUUGCUUUGGCAUGGUCAUCUCCUAAAGUGAAGUUUCAGAAGGGACGUACUUAUCUCAGGAGAUGCACAAAGUUUUAUGGAACUUCUGAAAGAUCAGCUGUCAAUUUGGUGCAUGAUGCAUUGACAAAGUAUAAGUGGUGGGAGGAGGAGAUUGAGAAAUGGCAGAGUCCCAUCCUGAAGGAUGAAAGGCUUCCAGAAUGGUACAAAUUCACUCUAUUUAAUGAACUGUACUUUCUGGUUGCUGGGGGAACAGUUUGGAUAGAUGGUGGUUCCAUUGCCGAAGAGAAUACCAAUCAGAACAAUUCCACAAUGAUAAUGAACAAGGAUGCAAGAAUUAUGUCCACAGAAAAUAGCAGCAUGGACCUGGUAGCUGAGGAUAGUGCUGCAUGUACUGGGAUGGAAAAUGCUGAUGCUAAUGGGGUUCCAAGAUCUUUAAUUUCGCAGGACAACUCUUAUGAUGUUGGGAAAUUUUUGUAUCUUGAGGGAGUAGAAUAUGUCAUGUGGUGUACAUAUGAUGUCCACUUCUAUGCCUCUUAUGCACUUCUGUGUCUCUUUCCCAAAAUUGAAUUGAGCAUUCAGCGAGAUUUCGCCAGGGCUGUCUUGUUUGAGGACAGAAGAAAAGUGAAGUUCCUAGCAAGCGGUACAUGGGGAAUCCGUAAAGUCAAGGGAGCUGUUCCUCAUGAUCUAGGAAUGCAUGAUCCUUGGCAUGAAAUGAAUGCUUAUAAUAUUCAUGACACUAGUAGAUGGAAGGACCUUAAUUCUAAAUUUGUCCUUCAAGUUUACAGGGAUUUCGCAGCAACUGGUGACAUGUCCUUUGGGAGGGAUGUCUGGCCAGCAGUUUGUGCUGCGAUGGAGUACAUGGAGCAGUUUGAUCGUGAUGGUGAUGGUCUUAUUGAGAACGAUGGGUUCCCAGAUCAAACAUAUGAUACUUGGACAACUCAUGGUGUCAGUGCUUACUGUGGGUGCCUCUGGCUAGCAUCUCUCCAAGCCACAGCAGCAAUGGCUUAUCAUCUUGGAGACACUACCUCUGCUGAAAAAUUCCAUAUUAAAUUUUUGAAAGCUAAACCUGUGUUUGAAGCAAAACUGUGGAAUGGAUCAUAUUUUAAUUAUGACAGUGGGAUGAGCAGAAACAGCCGAUCCAUACAGGCAGAUCAACUGGCAGGCCAAUGGUACACUGCUUCCUCGGGAUUGCCCUCGCUGUUUGAUGACACAAAAAUUAGAAGCACUCUUCAGAAGAUAUAUGAUUUCAAUGUGAUGAAGGUCAGAGGAGGGCGUAUAGGAGCAGUCAAUGGAAUGUAUCCUAAUGGAAGGGUCAAUGACUAUUGCAUGCAAUCACGUGAAAUAUGGACUGGGGUAACAUACAGUGUUGCAGCCACCAUGCUUCUUGCUGGAAUGGAGCAUCAGGCAUUUACUACUGCACAAGGCAUUUUUACGGCAGGUUGGUCAGAAGAAGGAUUCGGGUGUAAAGUAGGCCAUCCAUGGCAUGGAGAUUUUGUUUGUAUUUGUGAAAAUUAUAGAGACAGAUCACUCUUCUUCCUUUCAUCUGGACUCUAAUCAAUUACAAGGAGUCCAGACUGAAGUUCACAACCAAGCCCAAAGGAAGGGGUUAAAAAAAAGGAACACUUGCAGUCCAGCUGCCAAGCCUUCCCAUAGGUUUCUGUCUUCCUUUAGGUACGGGUUCCAGACCCCAGAAGCAUGGACAGUUGAUGGACACUACCGAUCCCUUGUGUACAUGCGUCCACUGGCUAUUUGGGCCAUGCAAUGGGCCUUGUCACCACCGAAAGCAAUUCUUGAGUCUCCUAAAUUUAGUACAGACAGAAUCUACACAUCCCCGCUUUAUGCAAGAACGCUAGAUGAUGACGGUUUGAGGAAGAGGACAUCUAAAAGCAGGUGUUUUCCUAGAACUGUUUUUCACUGUGCCAAUUAAGAACAUUGGUUGUGGAGAUCUGCUAGCCAAUGAUUUAGAGGAAUUGCUGCCAUUAUUCUUGGUAGCAUUUAGGCAGUGCAUUCAGGACCUAUUCAUCGUAGCCAAGAUAUUUUAAAUGUGAGACAGUUACAUGGUAUUGCUGCUCCACAGCUCCAGGAUGGUAACUUGACUUCUUAGAGCCCUAAUUGGAUUCUAGCUUUUGCUUCCAUGAGAAUCAGAAUAGGCAGCCCAUAAUUUAGUACUAGGCUGGAAGAUUUUCAUCAAAGUAAAACCUGUAAUUAGUUAAGGGUGAUCAAGAGUCCUCUGGGAAAUAUUGUAAUUUAUCUUACAGAAUGUUUAGUUUGUCCAGAAUAAUUAGAUCGUCUUUUGAUAUAAAUUAUAACAUUAUUUACUGUGUUGAUGCAGUAGCAUGGGUGUAAUUUUU